CAUAAAGCCAUGAGGUUGCUUCCGGAAGGCUGAAAUUGCGCCAAAAAACUUGAGAUGUUUGUGCUGUUUAUAGCAGCUGGCUUGUUUGGAAUAUCUGUCCAGCUCAAAAAUGGCUCCAGCGGUUAGAAACAGGUGAUGGCAGAAUGGCUUUAUGGAAACUUCAAGCAUAUGACAGCUUAAUUUUCUUCCACAAGGCUGUGAGACCAGUUUGCAGGUGAUGCUAAAGUUUUCAGAUCUACAGCACCAGGUGACAUACAGCCAACACUUAGUGUCUAGCUUAUUGUCAAAGAAAUGUCUGUGCCUCCUUUGUUAAACCAGUGUCUUUUUGUGGCCUAAUCAAUCAACAGUAUUCCUCCAGCACUCCAAGAAAGGACCCAGCAGACUCCGAUCUAGCAAUGUGAAGCGAGAUGCCAUAAUAUACAGAGGUCUUCACCUCAACUGUGUCUGCUGACAUCCAGGCUGCAAGUUGAUUUUGUUUUAUAUACAGAUCUUCAAGCACUGGACAAAAUGUCUACAUGAAACAUUUCUCCGUUGCAUCAGCCCAGUUUUAACAGCUGGAGUACGUGUGUUUUGUGCAACUCUGCUGCUCUCACAACUCGUGUACCCAUGGAAAGGGAUUGUCCUUGGCGUUCCUGUUUGAACUAUAAACCUGGCUAUUUAAUAAAAUGCUAAUAAAGUGUUUCUGAUAUCUGUUCUAUUAAUAAAGCUUUGACUUACCUUA